rnacentral:rRNA from 1 species
GAUGAACGCUGGCGGCGUGCCUAAUACAUGCAAGUCGAGCGAAUGGAUUAAGAGCUUGCUCUUAUGAAGUUAGCGGCGGACGGGUGAGUAACACGUGGGUAACCUGCCCAUAAGACUGGGAUAACUCCGGGAAACCGGGGCUAAUACCGGAUAACAUUUUGAACCGCGUGGUUCGAAAUUGAAAGGCGGCUUCGGCUGUCACUUAUGGAUGGACCCGCGUCGCAUUAGCUAGUUGGUGAGGUAACGGCUCACCAAGGCAACGAUGCGUAGCCGGCCUGAGAAGGUGAUCGGCCACGCUGGGACUGAGACACGGCCCAGACUCCUACGGGAGGCAGCAGUAGGGAAUCUUCCGCAAUGGACGAAAGUCUGACGGAGCAACGCCGCGUGAGUGAUGAAGGCUUUCGGGUCGUAAAACUCUGUUGUUAGGGAAGAACAAGUGCUAGUUGAAUAAGCUGACACCUUGACGGUACCUAACCAGAAAGCCACGGCUAACUACGUGCCAGCCGCCGCGGUAA